rnacentral:lncRNA from 1 species
GUAAUAUAUGAAACAUAUAUUUAUUUAAUUUUUAAUUUUGAAAAGUAUGACAAAUCAGGAAAACCUUUAGAGAUAAAGAUCGUUUUAGAUCUAAUUGAUGCAUUCAUGAUCUAUUGAAUGUGGUAAAUCUUUUUUUUCAAUUUUAGAUAUAACAUAAUUUAAUUAACAUAAACUACAUAUUUUUUUUAUUCAAGUAACUCGUAUUACGGUGUAUGUGCUCAAAGUGACGUGAAAAUGAUGUGUGUAUGUGCCCAACGUAUACAAAAUUUUACAUGCCAUCUUGCAUGCUUAAUAUACAUGACAUAUUUUAGGUCGCUACAAAGUUCACGUGGUCUCAAUUAAUGUGUUAAUUAAUGAUAUUUUUUAUAUAUUAACGUAACUUUUAAUAACCGAAUAGUUGUUGUAUACAUAUUGAUAUUGAUGUUUUAUUUAUAUAUAACAUACUAAGGCCUUGUUUAGUUUGCAAAAUUUUUUGGCUUCGGAUACUGUAGUACUUUCGUUUGUUUGUGGCAAAUAUUGUCCAAUCAUAGACUAACUAGGGUCAAAAGAUUCUUCUCGCGAUUUACAGAUAAACUGUGUAAUUAGUUUUUAUUUUAUCUAUAUUUAAUAUUUUAUGCAUGUGUUAUAAGAUUCGAUGUGACGGGGAAUCUUGAAAAAUUUUGGUAGUUUUUAGGAACUAAACAAGGCCUAAAAGAAAGAAGUGCAAUCAACGGCCAUGCGGCCGGCCGCCGAUUCUAUCUGUCCCAUGCAUGAGGGGAUCUGAAGAUGUUUUCUUUUUCUUUUUUCUUUCUAAGAUCAAUUAAUUGAUUUUAAAAAUCUAAAAAUUAACGGCUCAAAUUUAUUUGAAAUAUUACCUCCUUAGAGGUAAAGGGUGUACCUUAGCAUUGCCCAAAUAAAUAUUACUAACAAAAGUGUCUGUGCGUUGCAACGGGUGAAAAGGUAUGUAUGGCUAUUGUUCUCGUCUCUCCUACUCCAAACCAAUCAAUUGAAUUUGCCUCCAACACAUCUAUGUCAUUCCUAAUAUGACUCAAAAUCAAUGACGAUGUGUAUCCGUACGCCUGGGAUGUAGGGCUGUGGAUGCUGAUGAGGCUAUGCACAAUCGAGUCUGUUUGGUACUCGAUGAUGGAGUUUAAUUGUAAGCAGCUUUGUGGAUGUCCAAACAAAACAAAACGAAGUUGUUUAAUUGCUAAUAAUGCUAAUUUGAUCAUAUACGGUUUAG